rnacentral:tRNA from 1 species
GAGGAUGUAAGCCUAAUUUGGUAAGGCAGUAGAUUGCUAAUCUGCCAGUACCCGUCAUCGACGGCGUGUGAGUUCGAGUCUCACCAUCCUCGCCA